AUGUAUAGCAUCGUGUGUGUAUUGUGCAUGCAUGUACGUAUUAUACGAGCAAGAUACGAAGUACGUAGCACGUACCUCCUUGUGGUCGACGGGGACGGACGGGUAGAGCCGGAGCGCCUCGGAGAGCGCGGCGUGGAGGUACUCCAUCCGCUUCACCUCCUCCGGCUGGAACACCAGCUCCUCCACCUCCCCGCUGCGGGCCCGCGCCGCCACGAUGCCCUCGACCUCCUCCAGGAUCUUGGCCUCCACGCCGCGGUUCUUGCUGAGCAGCCAGAAGAACCAUGCCAGCGCCACGGACGACGUGUCGCGCCCGGCCAGGAUGAAGUUGACGCAGAUGUCGCGGAGGAACUUGUCCGAGUAGGCCGGGGCGCCGUCGGCGCCGCGCAUCUUGGUGAAGAUGGUCAGCAGGUCGGCCCGACGGAGCCCGCCGGCGGCGUCCUCUUCGCGGCCGGCCGCGGUGGCGGCGGCGAGCUCCUCCCUGCGCUUCCUGAUCACGUCGUACGCGAACUCGUCGACGCCGGCCAGCGAGCGCCGGAGCACCCGCUCGUGGCCCACGCCCAGGGCGCGCAUCCCGCGCCACACCGCGGUGGGCGUGACGAAGCGCACGAUGGUGGCCUCGGUGGCGUCCUCGAACGCGCGGGCGAACGGGAUCUCCGGGAGGCCCUUCUGGAGGCACCCGGGGUCGGCGCCGAAGGCGAUCAUGCACACGUUGUCGAAGGUGAGGCGGAGGAGCACGUCCUGCAGGUCCACGGCCGCGCCGGCCGCCUCGGUCUCGGCCAGCACGGGCAGCAGCCGCCGGUGCACGAGCUCCACCAGCGAGCUGGCCGUGAGCGCGCGGAACUCGGCGGAGUGGAACUCGAGGCUGGCCGCCUUGCGCUGCUGCCGCCACACCUCGUCGUCGGCCCCGAAGAUGCCGUCGCCGAGGAGGUCGCGCACGGUGUCGCGGAAGUAGGGGCCCUUGGGGAAGUUGCCGAACUUGGUCUUGAGCAGGUGCUCCAGGUUCCGCGGGUCGGCGGUGACGACGCAGUGCAGGUUGGUGAACCACGGCCCGCGGAACGUGAACGUGCCGCCGCGCGCCUUGAGGACGCCCGUGAUCCACUCGUACAUGUCGCCCCGGACGCCGAGGAGGAGGGACGGGAGCAUGCCGACCACCGGCCACGACGGGAGGCCCAGCGAGCGCCGCUGCCGGAGCGAGUGGAUGGCCACGAAGAUGAAUACUGCCACGAGCACCUCCACCGUCUGCACCUGCGGGAGCAGGCUGGCGAGGCCGCCGGCGUCGAGGAACGGGGCCGUGGUGGCGUUGUGCGCGCCGCUCGAAAUGAGCUCGUCCAUGGCGCCCAUGGCGUGCGUACGUACGAUUUGGAUAUGCAGAUAAAGGUGGUGGUGUCCUGGCGUGCGUGCGUGUGUGUGUGCGCGCCUUGA
rnacentral:rRNA from 1 species